rnacentral:RNase_P_RNA from 1 species
UGUUUACAAGAGGAAAGUCCGGACAGCAUAGAGCAGCAUGCUUCCUAACAGGAAGGGUUCACAAAGGUGAAUACAGCUAGUGCCACAGAAAAAAUACGGCCAUUUGGCAAAGGUGAAAAGGUGAGGUAAGAGCUCACCGUACCAAUGGUGACAUUGGUAGCAAGGUAAACCUCAUGCGCUGAAAGACCAAAUAAACCAGGGUAGGUAAAACUGAAGAGUUGCUCGCUCAACCUGGAGGGUAGGUUGAUUGAGUUAUUUAGUGAUAAAUAACCUAGAUAAAUGAUGAGCCUCGACAGAAUCCGGCUUACAGGUUUGGC